ensembl:snRNA U6 U6 spliceosomal RNA
GUGCUCACUUUGGUAGCACAUAUACUAAAAUUGGAAUACAGAGAAGACUACUAGCAUGGCCUCUGUGCAAGGAUGACACACAAAUUCAUGAAGUAUUCCAAUAAAUA